rnacentral:ncRNA from 1 species
UCCACCGCGAGAUGGAAUCUGAAGGAAGCCGGAGGCAAAAUCCCGAACUGACGAACAGAAACUGUAUAUAAGGCUGAAUUGGGAUGGAUGAGUUUGCACAACAAAACGAAGUCCAAUACUGCUUAUUAUAAAGGAGAACUGGCUGGUUCGAUGAAUCUAAUUCUU